rnacentral:rRNA from 1 species
UGGGGAAUAUUGCGCUAAUGCGCGAAAGCGUGACGCAGCGACGCCGCGUGGGGGAUGAAGGCCCUCGGGUCGUAAACCCCUUUCGCCAGGGACGAAGGGAAACUGACGGUACCUGGAGAAGAAGUCCCGGCUAACUACGUGCCAGCAGCCGCGGUAACACGUAGGGGACGAGCGUUGUCCGGAAUUAUUGGGCGUAAAGCGCGCGUAGGCGGUCGUGCAAGUCGGAUGUGAAAAUCCCGGGCUCAACCCGGGACCUGCACCCGAUACUGCUCGACUCGAGGUAGGUAGGGGAGAUCGGAAUUCCUGGUGUAGCGGUGAAAUGCGCAGAUAUCAGGAGGAACACCGGUGGCGAAGGCGGAUCUCUGGGCCUUACCUGACGCUGAGGCGCGAAAGCUAGGGGAGCGAACAG